AGAUGUUUUGAGACUACAAUUCCCAUCGUCCCUGACCACUGGUUCUGCUAGCUAGGGAUGAUGGGAGUUGUAGUCCCAAAACAUCU